rnacentral:rRNA from 1 species
GGGGGACCACCCUCCAAGCCUAAAUACUCGUACAUGACCGAUAGCGAACACAGUACCGUGAGGGAAAGGUGAAAAGAACCGCGGAUAGCGGAGUGAAAAGAACCUGAAACCGUGUGCUUACAAGCAGUUAGAGGGCUAUAAAUGGCCUGAUAGCGUGCCUUUUGCAUAAUGAGCCUACGAGUUACUCCUCACUGGCAAGGUUAAGUGCAUUGAUGCACGCAGGCGCAGCGAAAGCGAGUCUGAAUAGGGCGUGUAGUCAGUGGGGGUAGACGCGAAACCUAGUGAGCUACCCUUGAGCAGGAUGAAGGAGCGGUAACACGCUGUGGAGGUCCGAACCAGUUUCCGUUGAAAAGGAUUUGGAUGACUUGAGGGUAGGGGUGAAAGGCCAAUCAAACUCCGUGAUAGCUGGUUCUCUCCGAAAUGCAUUUAGGUGCAGCGUUGCGUGUUUCUUGCCGGAGGUAGAGCUACUGGAUGGCCGAUGGGGCCCAAAAGCUUACUGACGUCAGCCAAACUCCGAAUGCCGGUAAGUGAGAGCGCAGCAGUGAGACUGUGGGGGAUAAGCUUCAUAGUCGAGAGGGAAACAACCCAGACCACCAACUAAGGUCCCUAAGCGCGUGCUAAGUGGGAAAGGAUGUGGAGUUGCACAGACAACCAGGAGGUUGGCUUAGAAGCAGCCAUCCUUUAAAGAAAGCGUAACAGCUCACUGGUCUAAUUAAGAGGUUCUGCGGCGAAGAUGUAACGGGGCUCAAGACACGCACCGAAGCUUAGGGUGUGGAUUUAUCCACGCGGUAGCGGAGCGUUCCGUAAGCCGUUGAAGCGAUCUGGUAAUGGGUCGUGGAGGUAUCGGAAGUGCGAAUGCAGACAUGAGUAGCGAUAAACAGGGUGAGAUGCCCUGUCGCCGAAAGACCAAGGGUUCCUGCGCA